UACAGAGGGGGCAAGCGUUGUUCGGAAUUACUGGGCGUAAAGGGUGCGUAGGCGGUUUUCUAAGUCGGAUGUGAAAUCCCCGGGCUCAACCCGGGAACUGCGUUCGAUACUGGAAGGCUUGAAUCCGGGAGAGGGAUGCGGAAUUCCAGGUGUAGCGGUGAAAUGCGUAGAUAUCUGGAGGAACACCGGUGGCGAAGGCGGCAUCCUGGACCGGCAUUGACGCUGAGGCGCGAAAGCCAGGGGAGCAAACGGG
rnacentral:rRNA from 1 species